AUGGCCGUACCACCCUGAACACGCCCGGUUUUGUCCAAUCUUGGGAAGCUAAGCAGGGUUGGGCCUGGUUAGUACUUGGAUGGGAGGAAAAUGCCACACACUUUUACCUUAUUCUCCUGGAAUCCAGCCACCAU
rnacentral:rRNA from 1 species